CACAUCAACGGCGCCUCUUCACCCCUUUUACCCAUUUCCUUUUUCAGAAAAUAGUCAAACCUUUAAGCCUAAAUGAAGCUUUUGAUUUUCCAUUCUCGAAUAAUUUUCCAGAUGCCCCUGCAUCUCUGUUCCCUCGUUUCCUCUUUCAAAGAAUUGCCAAACCCCUUAAGUCGAAAGGAAGCUUUUCUUUUGCCAUUCUUGAAUGCUCUUCCAGAUCGCCUCUCUGUAUCAUGUCCAUUUUCACGCUUCAAGGGGUACGAAUCUCUCCUUUCCAGCGAGGGUCUCAAUAUUUUGGGCAAAGCGUUCAAAAUUUCAACGUCCAUAUUCAAAUGGUUGACCCCUUAAUUCAAAAAUCCCGCUCAAAAAUCUAAACCCUAGUUUCGUCCUAUAUAUACUAGCGUUUGGAGUUAAUUGAAAAAAAAAGGGGAACGCCAUCACAUUUCCACCAUAACCAAAAUUUGCAUAUCAUUUUACAUUACUGUAUUUUAUCUUUGGUUUGAAAGCUUCGGUUAAUCCGAGCGUGUCCGCAUUCAUCUUCUUUUGAGCGUGGAUCUGUGACCUAAAGUCUUAGUUCACUGCCUCCGAAAAAGGUACUUUACAUACUAGUACAUUCAAUGUGCUGACGUCCCCUUUCUAUUGCCCGGGGGCCUGCAUUUCACGAUGCAGGUAUUGAUUGACAGGACAGCAGAUUUGCUCGUUAGGACAUUGCUCGUAUAAGUUUUUGGUGAGCCCCAUCUCAUUCGGGGUUCUGUCUUUACUUCUAUUUAUGUCAGUUAUGCAUUUAAGGUAUGCCGAGGGCCUUGUCCCGGUGAACAAUUUAGCAGACAGAUUCGCGUCAGAGGGUUCAUAGACUAGUCAGUUGUCAUGUUCAGUUAAAUUGGCCUUAAUGGCAUUCAUGAUAUGAUAAUAAUAAUAUUUUCAGACUUAUGAUUAUUGAA